AGCAGUCGCCGCGGGAAUACGAAGGGGGCUAGCGUUGUUCGGAAUUACUGGGCGUAAAGGGCGCGUAGGCGGCCAUUCAAGUUAGAUGUGAAAGCCCUGGGCUCAACCUAGGAAUUGCAUUUGAUACUGUUUGGCUUGAGUUCGGGAGAGGUGAGUGGAAUUCCCAGUGUAGAGGUGAAAUUCGUAGAUAUUGGGAAGAACACCGGUGGCGAAGGCGGCGACCUGGUCCUUGACUGACGCUGAGGCGCGAAAGCGUGGGGAGCAAACAGGAUUAGAUACCCGAGUAGUCCCUGUCUCUUAUAA
rnacentral:rRNA from 1 species